rnacentral:rRNA from 2 species
AAUCCAUAGGUUAAUGAGGCGAACCGGGGGAACUGAAACAUCUAAGUACCCCGAGGAAAAGAAAUCAACCGAGAUUCCCCCAGUAGCGGCGAGCGAACGGGGAGGAGCCCAGAGCCUGAAUCAGCAUGUGUGUUAGUGGAAGCGUCUGGAAAGGCGCGCGAUACAGGGUGACAGCCCCGUACACAAAAGCGCAUGUGCUGUGAGCUCGAUGAGUAGGGCGGGACACGUGGUAUCCUGUCUGAAUAUGGGGGGACCAUCCUCCAAGGCUAAAUACUCCUGACUGACCGAUAGUGAACCAGUACCGUGAGGGAAAGGCGAAAAGAACCCCGGCGAGGGGAGUGAAAAAGAACCUGAAACCGUGUACGUACAAGCAGUGGGAGCCCCACC